rnacentral:lncRNA from 1 species
AUCCGCCGGCGCCAGCCUGUGGAGGUGGUCGGCUAAGGAGGUGCGUUUUGAAACGAAGAGCCCUGGAAAGGAAAAGGUGCUCUGGGGUUUGAGGCCUCUUGGGGGUUGCGGCUGUGGCUUUGCUGGGCGCGAACAGACGCAGGCCUGAGCCCGGACUAGAGGAAGGCAGCGCUGUGUGUGCGGGUGCUGAGGCAGGUGGGAGCCGUCGCCUCGUCACCUCAUCACCUCGUUACCUCGUGCCUUGGGAGCGCGAGGAGCAGGGGCAGGUGUCUGGGCGGCUUGUUUUGUGCCCAAGCCCCGGCAGCGCUGUGCUUGACCGUCCAUUUGCUUGGCCUGCGCUCUCCGGGGAGAGCUUGCAGGGCCACGAGGGGAGCACGGGGCUGGAGGAGCAUGGCAGGGGCCGUGGGUUUUGCUUUUUUGGGUUUUUGGGUUUUUUUCCUUUUUUCUUUCUUUAGUACUUUUCUACAAGCAACCUUUUGCCAGCGGCAGGAACCUAGGUUUUUCGACUCGUCGCGGUCGCAGACCUGGCCGCCUGCCCCGCUCCGCCUGCUCACUGGGCGGCCGCGCUUCGUGGGCCCUGGCCCGUGCCGCCCCUCGUCCCUCGUGUCCCGGCCCCAUCGCCUUCCCCGGAGAGUUUUAAAACCUUCUUGUUCCAGUGAGAUCUGAUCAUAAAAGUUAUCCUGCAGAGAAAAAGUACCAGGCCUGGAGCUUGAAUUCAGCUGGAAGCCUUUUAAGGGAUGCAGCUUUCUUGAUAGCAUGGAUAACUGACAGCAAAACCACUGGCGAAUGUGUAGUCAACAGUCAGGUGCCUGCUUGGUCCCAGAAAAGGUAGCUGAGAAAGCAGUGGCAUUCCCUGGCAGAGGAGGCAGAGUAGUCCCUUGGCGAGAGGCGGCAGCGGGACCACGCCGCUCUGCGGAGCACCUGAACACAGCGCCGAGUGCCGUGAUGGAUAAAGGGAGGCCACCUGGCUCCCGGGCCCUCAGCAGAUCCCUUCCUGCCUCUCUCUCCUUGUACACCACAGAAAAAGUCAUCCUGGUCUUCUGGCGAGCCUGUGCCAGCCUUUCUAAACGAUACUACGAGGCUCCAUCUAGAAAUGACAUGAGCUGCUUCUGGGCUGAAGCAAGGACUUCUGCUGGUUGGCAAGAGGCUCUGGAGGAGACUGCACUUACACCAAACUCUAGCAAUGUGAUUCUGCCAGGCGAGGAUGCAUUCACAUGCAUCCAGGAUCAUGCUUAUGAAAUCAGCUUGAAGACCAAGGGAGAGACGGUAGCAAGAGACUGUCAGAUCUCAGCUACUGAACAGUCUGUACGCUCACACUGCAGUGUGGAAGAAACAGAAGAUGCCUUUCUAAUACCAGUGAGAAUGUGUCAGCAGAGAAGGUUGGCUGAUAAAAGACAAGGACUAGGAGGAGACGUCUUCAGGAGCAGGACCUGGGCUGUGCUGCGGUGGUCUUUCAGCAUGUCCGGGAGCCAAGACAAGUCGGCCCUCAGUGACCCCGCUACAUUCAGCACCACUGGACAAAGAUCCCCUGUUGAUUUGGUGGCUGCAGCCAUACAGUGGGAAGGUGUUGGGAAAACAGACUUCAGUGAGGCAGCAGGACUGAACAAGCAGGAUUAAUGAAAAAAAUGGCUGUCACAGGCUUAAAAAUAGCCUGCCAUAUGCCCAUGCGAAAGCUCGGAAAGCUCCACCAGGGAUGCGGGGUCGGCGCUCGCGCCCCAGCGUUGCAGCCCCCCGCUGCAGCAGGCGUCGCGGCCUCGAGCAGAGCUGCGCAGCCCCCAUCGCACUCACAGGAACGUGCCCCGGCCCAGCCAGCGCCCCGGGGAACCGGCGGGCUCGGCUCAGCCCCUUGCCUACCAACCGAGGCGAUACCUGAGCCGUCUUCUGCUGAACAGGAAACCCAACCCGCUCAUUUUAUACC